rnacentral:Y_RNA from 1 species
GUCUGGUCCAAGUGCAAUGGUAUUUAUAACUAAUUGAUCACAACCAGUUACAGAUUCCUUUGUUCCUUCUCCACUCCCACUGCUUCACUUAAAUAGCCUGGG